rnacentral:rRNA from 1 species
GUCUUUUUGAUUUUUAUAAAAAGUUUAACCUGCCCACUGAAAUUUAAAUGGCUGCAGUAUUUUGACUGUACAAAGGUAGCAUAAUCAUUAGUUUUUUAAUUAAAAUCUGGAAUGAAAGGUUGGACGAAAUAAUAACUGUCUCUUUAUAAAUUUUUUUGAAUUUUAUUUUUAAGUAAAAAAGCUUAAAUAUUUUUGAAAGACGAGAAGACCCUAUAGAGUUUAAUUUAAUAAUAAAAUAAUUUUAAUUUGAAUAAUUUUAAAUAUUUUUAUUAUUAAAUUUUAUUGGGGUGAUAAAAAAAAUUAAAAAACUUUUUUUUUAUAAAAACAUUAAUUAAUGAUUUUUUGAUCCAUAAAAAUGAUUAUAAGAUUAAAUUACCUUAGGGAUAACAGCGUAAUUUUUUUUAGAGUUCUUAUCAAAAAAAAAGUUUGCGACCUCGAUGUUGGAUUAAGAUUAAUAUUUGGUGAAGAUGCUAAAAUAUUAGGUCUGUUCGACCUUUAAAAUCUUACA